CGUGGCGCGCCCGGCUCCGCGCUGCGGGCGGCGCUGCCGCUGCUGGGCACCGCCGUGUCCCUCUGCGCAGAGCGGUUUCCUUGUGUGGCGCUCGUUAGGACUUUGCAGAGAGCGGAGGUCGCACCCAGGUGCGGGGAAGGACCGUGUCCUUCCUGCUGCUCACAGAAUUCCUGCUUUUGGAUCGGCCAGGGAGGAGAACCAAGCUCACCUGUGGCUGUCAAGUGCUUCUGUGUAGUGCUGCACAUCUGGUGCAGCGCGGGGUCCUGCUCUGCUCCCUGUGCCAGAGCCCGGCUCAGGCCGGGGGUGCACAGAGCAGACAGGCAGAUGUGGCAAUAGAGGGGACGGGCAGCGUGACUGUCUGGGUGGAAAAUUCCUUGUCAGGCCCUCAGAUGUGACUUCAGGAGCUUCCAGUGCUGGGGACUCAUGUGCAAGCAGCUCCAGCCCCGCAGUGGAUCAUGCUGUCAGCCCGGGUUGUCUCACUGCCUCCCCGCGCAGUUUGUACCCUCAGCCCCUCACGGGCUGGGACCAGCACGCUCUUCUUCACUCUGUGCAUGAGCUGCACGGCACAAAACCCCUGCUCUCAGCACUCUGCUGUGCCACUCCUGCCCCACAGAGCACAACCUUCCCAAGCACACCUCGCCUGUUCAGACCUAAAAAUGUCCUUUGGCAGCUUAUUCCACCAAAAGUAAUUUUCCUGGGUGUUGUGGCUCUUUCCCUGCCCUGUUAAUAUUAAUUUCAAUGCCUGCACCCAGCUCCUGCCUGCUGGGUUUUGCCUUGGCUGCUGAACUUUUCCAGAAUGGGGAUUUUGAGCAUCCAGUAUCCUCCUUCCAAAAUGAUGAUACUUGCAAAUAUUUAUAAAAUCAUUCCCCAGAUGUUUAUUUAAGAAAUCAAAACUCUGGAACUCUGUGAUG